UACGGAGGGGGCUAGCGUUGUUCGGAAUUACUGGGCGUAAAGAGCUCGUAGGCGGUUUGUCGCGUCUGCUGUGAAAACCCGAGGCUCAACCUCGGGCCUGCAGUGGGUACGGGGCAGACUAGAGUGCGGUAGGGGGAGAUUGGAAUUCCUGGUGUAGCGGUGGAAUGCGCAGAUAUCGGGGAGGAACACCGGUGGCGAAGGCGGUUCUCUGGGCCUGUACUGA
rnacentral:rRNA from 1 species